rnacentral:antisense_RNA from 1 species
GAAAGUACGACAUUGCUCACAUUGCUUCCAGUGUUUACUUUUAUAGGCCAACUUAAUGUUGGCUUUUUUUU